AAAACAGGUAUUUUGGGGGGCGUGGCUGUUUGAUUGAUAUACCUGGUCUGCAAUGAUUGAUCAGAUGACACGGCAGGCCGGGAGGUCGAUCACCGGAGGAUCAGUCACCGGAGGAGAGCUUGGGUCGUGAGCGUUUCGUAUUGAAUCAGUUGUGUUGAAUAUUAUUGUUCUCAAUAUUUGUCCGUGGAAGAAUAAUUUAGCACUGACAGUUUUGCUGUUAGUUAUUUAGUUUUAAUGAGUUUUCGUUUCACAGUAAUUAUGGCUCAUUCACUAACAAACUGGAGAUAUGACGAUGAUUUACAUUUUUUUUCGACUGGGAAGACGUUGUGCCAUGACUACUUUUAUAUGCGGACGCUGUGAACUGAAACCUGGCUCUGUGAGCAGUCAGUAAGUGAAAUACUCUGUAAGUAAAAUUUCCCGGGCUGUUUUAUCUUCUUUUCUUGCUGAAAUCAACUGCCUGAUACUAAAUGUGAGUCCCACAGUGUCGGAGGUUUUCCUUUCUCAGCAAAGCGGUUCUACAAAGGGUUUAUAUCUCGAUGCUUCAUGUGAACAGUGCCACAUCUACUGGCCUGAAUGCAAAAUACAAAUGAUUGUUCAUCACAAAUUGAAUAUACUAGGAGAGGCAGCCCAGGUGACAGUUCAAGGCAGCGACGGGGAAGAACGCCUCCUGUCCUGGGAAGGAGAGUCUCCAGAGCUCACAUCAUGUGCUGUGGUACAGUGGAUGGAUGGGCAUCGGUUGGUCGUCACAUGACUCACUAUCACAGGGGGAGGAGCCCUGGAGAGAGAUCAGUUUCACCUGUACCUCAAGUUCUGUUAGUAAGUUAUUUGAUAAGUUUAUGAUGCUGCAGUGACUCACUAUCGCCUCUUGAGGAACAAAGUGGUAAUACAAGAUGAAACAGGACAUGUAGCAGCAGUUACACAGUGAACCUUUCUAAGGCAAUCUGCGGUGACUUAUUUCUUCAUUAACCCCAUUACCAUUCUGUUCAAAGGAAUGCAUUUUAUUAAGCGUUGCUGUAUAUUGGGCAAACUUUAAAUAAAGGGCUGAUUUGUUUUAGCA